rnacentral:rRNA from 1 species
UACGUAGGGGGCUAGCGUUGUCCGGAAUCAUUGGGCGUAAAGCGCGUGUAGGCGGUCCGGUAAGUCCGCUGUGAAAGUCGGGGGCUCAACCCUCGGAUGCCGGUGGAUACUGUCGGGCUUGAGUGCGGAAGAGGCGAGUGGAAUUCCUGGUGUAGCGGUGAAAUGCGCAGAUAUCAGGAGGAACACCAAUUGCGAAGGCAGCUCGCUGGGACGUUACUGACGCUGAGACGCGAAAGCGUGGGGAGCAAACAGG